rnacentral:lncRNA from 1 species
UUAUCUUAUAUUAUUUGUUUUAAUGAAAGCUUAUAAAGGAAUGAUGAAAAAAAUAUAUGCUAAAAGUGAUAUAUGUGCACUGUAUGUCAAGUUUUUGGUUUUCUAUAAAUCCUAGCCAUAUUAGGUCUUCUACAAGGAUAUAUUCAUGUGAAUUUAAGCUCUGGUGUGGUUUAUCUGUCAAGGCCGUUUUCUUCUCUUUUAAGAGAAUGGAACCAAUCCAUAAUAUGUAAUAGGUUGUGAGCAGCACGGACCUGAACUUGUCUACAUAGCUUAGUACUGUCCAGUAGCUAAGAAGGCAGGUUCGAUCAUACCAUUCUAACUCAGCAGGACCUAUUUAUAUCUUUCCCUUGUAGAACUGGAAAGCAGAACUAUAAAAAAUUUCUCUUUCUGCAUUCUUCUUCUACUACAGACUUCUGUAACUUUCUCCUGUGGAAACUACUCUUCCUUCUUCAUAUUUAUUCAAGCUUAUACCUGUCCCAUAGCGAUAACUCAUUAGUCAAAGUACAGUUGCAUUCAAGGGUAUAUUCUAACCCCAUCAGUCUGUAUUACUACUGUGUUUCUUAUUCUUUUGCAAGUACCAGUUCAGAGGAGACUUUUGAGGUUUUUUUCUCUGUUUGUGUUCUAGUGUGCCAGGACAGCCGUACUUGGAGGAGCCCUAUCAAAAUAUUUGCUUCAACGCUUUCUUGACCAUUUUACAGUCUUCAAAAUCAUCUGAUAUGGAUGAUAUAAUAUUUUGUAUGAAUGCAAUAAAGGGCAUACAAUCACUUCUCAAUGGUGGGAAGAUGAAACUGACACAGACUGAUGAACUUGGAGCUCUUCUAGCUGUUCUAAAGAAAACCAUGUUUCAUGGACUCCCUGGACUAAACAUAGAGAUGCCCACGGUGCUCUACCCAACUCUACUUCCUCAGUAUGAUGGGCGACCACUUGUCAAAUUGCAGCAGUCAGAAUCCAGUGCUUCUCGACCAGCUAUGGUACAUUUAUGUCUGCUUAGAUUUAAGUUGUGGAUUGUUUUGAGUAACUUGCUAUGCAUGUUUUCUAUGCGGGCAUCAUUACAGCUACAAAAGCUCACGAAUUUGGUAUCAAUUAGGGCAUUUAAUGUAGUAAAUUUAAAUUUACCAAGAUUGUUGAAGAUACCAGUUAAAGCAUCUUGUGCUUCCAAGAGGUCUAAGCAGUCAACCAGCCACAAAAAUGAGCAUUUGCUGUAUCUCCAAAGUCAAGCACCCUCAUCCCCAAAAGGUUAAGAGCAAGGAUCGGCUCACUCUUUCUAUAAAGGGAUGGCUGGUAAAUACCUUUGGUCUUUGUCACAACUACCAACUCUGUCAUCAGAGUACAAAAGCAGCCAUAGAGUCACUGUGGAAAUGCACGGGCAUGGCGAUCUAGUAAAACUUUAUUUACAGAAACAGGCUAUGGGCUGGGCUGGAUUUGGCCUUAGAGUCAUCUUUACGUUCACCAGAUUUCCCAGCCUUUCAGACAGCUGCCAUCUCCCUCAUGUUUCGAUUAGAGAAUCUGGAACAUACAGAUGUGUUCAUAUAGAUGUAUAAAUUUCAUAUUCAGAAAUCUAAUACCCAAUUAAAAAUGCUUAAAAUUAAAAAUUCUUCCAGUCCUAGCAGAAUGAUGUGAUCAGAUUUGCACCUUUGAAAAGCUACGAUGGUAGCAAGUACUAUAAGAAAGAAUAAGUCUGAUCCUUAGAAAGUAGUCUAAGAGAGAAGAGAUGAGAAUCUUCUUCCUCAGGGUGAGGGACUUUGAGCAUACAGAGGAAGGGACAGAUUUCAGAGAUACUUGCAAAUCAGAAUGAAGUAGGGAAAACAAACUGGCUUUUACUUAAUAUCUAUUCUGAUGUCACCUCAGGGCCCCAGGAUAUAUGUUAUCUGUAAUGGAUUAUGGUCCCAUAUGCAUGCACUGGAGUGGUAUUGCUGUGUAUCUUAGUUGGGAAAAGUGAGAAAAUAGACACUCAAGUUAUUUCCCAUAGGGUUUGAGUCUCUGUGGAAUCCUAGUUGAGAAGCUGAAUGCUUUCACUACAUCUGUGUAAGGUAGGUGGUAUUAGCUUUGUGCUUAGCUGAGGAAGGUCAAGCUCAGAGAGGCUACAUGGUUUGCCCAGAAGCAGAGUUUAAACCUGGGCCACUUGUUUUGCUCUGUCUGAUGGCUUCAUGCCUUAUUUCUUCCAGUCUAAGAUGGUGCAUGUAAACACUUAGCAUUCUGCCUGAUAGAAAAAAUAUUGAGUAAAUGUCACUUUUUUCUCCUUUCUUUACAUUACAUGUUGGGAACAUACUUACCUUCAAAUAGGUGUAGUACCAAUGAUUCAGUUAAAAACUAUUUUGAAAUAGCUAUCAGUAUCUAUCAUAUAUAUAUAUGUCUUUCUUUGCUCCUAAAAUCAGAAUAAAAAGAAAAAAUCCAAGGUAAAACCAAAGAAAAUCCAGCCAGGAGAGGAGGAGGAAGAAGAAUCGG